CGGCAAAUGCAGGAGUCGUACAAGAAAAAAUUAGAGAUAGACUUUGAGGGACAGAAAUUAGCAGGCUUGUAUAGCAAGUUGGUGCCUUUGAUAUUUUCGAUAAUAGGUUUGAUAAUAGGAUAUGCAAAAGAGGAUUUUAUUUUGAGCGUGAUAAUACUUAUAGCGGGCUCAGUUAUAGCCAUGUUGAUAGUGGUUCCUCCUUGGCCCAUGUUUCGUCGAAAUUCACUGAAACUGAAGGCUAGACAGCACCCCGCAAAAUCUGCGAAGAGUCG